GACGAACGCUGGCGGCGUGCUUAACACAUGCAAGUCGAACGGUAAGGCCCCUUCGGGGGUACACGAGUGGCGAACGGGUGAGUAACACGUGAGCAACCUACCCUUGGCACUGGAAUAACAGUUGGAAACAGCUGCUAAUGCCGGAUAUGACCUUCGGUGACAUCACCUGGAGGUGGAAAGUGCUUAGCGGUCAAGGAUGGGCUCGCGGCCUAUCAGCUUGUUGGUGAGGUAACGGCUCACCAAGGCUUCGACGGGUAGCCGGCCUGAGAGGGCGACCGGCCACACUGGGACUGAGAUACGGCCCAGACUCCUACGGGAGGCAGCAGUGGGGAAUAUUGCACAAUGGGCGCAAGCCUGAUGCAGCAACGCCGCGUGCGGGAUGACGGCCUUCGGGUUGUAAACCGCUUUCAGUUCCGACGAAGCGCAAGUGACGGUAGGAACAGGAGAAGGACCGGCCAACUACGUGCCAGCAGCCGCAGUAACAC
rnacentral:rRNA from 1 species